AGAUUGAACGCUGGCGGCAGGCCUAACACAUGCAAGUCGAGCGGUAGAGAGGUGCUUGCACCUCUUGAGAGCGGCGGACGGGUGAGUAAUGCCUAGGAAUCUGCCUAGGUGGUGGGGGGAUAACGUUCGGAAACGGACGCUAAUACCGCAUACGUCCUACGGGGAGGAAAGCGGGGGACCUUCGGGCCUCGCGCCAUUAGAUGAGCCUAGGUCGGAUUAGCUAGUUGGUGAGGUAAUGGCUCACCAAGGCGACGAUCCGUAACUGGUCUGAGAGGAUGAUCAGUCACACUGGAACUGAGACACGGUCCAGACUCCGUACGGGAGCAGCGAGUGGGGAAUAGUUGGACAAGUGGGCGAAAGCCUGACUCCAGCCAUGCGCGUGUGUGAAGAGUCUUGGAUUGAAAGCUAACGUUUAAGU
rnacentral:rRNA from 1 species